rnacentral:rRNA from 1 species
UACGUAGGGGGCAAGCGUUAUCCGGAUUUACUGGGUGUAAAGGGGGCGCAGGCGGUUUGGCAAGUCUGAAGUGAAAGCCCGUGGCUCAACUGCGGGACUGCUUUGGAAACUGUCAAACUAGAGUAUCGGAGAGGCAAGUGGAAUUCCUGGUGUAGCGGUGAAAUGCGUAGAUAUCAGGAGGAACACCGGUGGCGAAGGCGGCUUGCUGGACGAUAACUGACGCUGAGGCCCGAAAGCGUGGGGAG